GACGAACGCUGGCGGCGUGCUUAACACAUGCAAGUCGAACGGUGAAAGCGGAGCUUGCUCCGCUGGAUCAGUGGCGAACGGGUGAGUAACACGUGGGCAACCUGCCCCUCACUUCGGGAUAACUCCGGGAAACCGGGGCUAAUACCGGAUAUGACCUCCUUGGGCAUCCUUGGAGGUGGAAAGUUUUUCGGUGAGGGAUGGGCCCGCGGCCUAUCAGCUUGUUGGUGAGGUAGUGGCUCACCAAGGCGACGACGGGUAGCCGGCCUGAGAGGGCGACCGGCCACACUGGGACUGAGACACGGCCCAGACUCCUACGGGAGGCAGCAGUGGGGAAUAUUGCGCAAUGGGCGAAAGCCUGACGCAGCAACGCCGCGUGCGGGAUGACGGCCUUCGGGUUGUAAACCGCUUUCAGCAGGGAAGAAGCCGCAAGGUGACGGUACCUGCAGAAGAAGCACCGGCUAACUACGUGCCAGCCGCCGCCGUAACAC
rnacentral:rRNA from 1 species